UACGGAAGGCAGCAGUAGGGAAUCUUCCGCAAUGGACGAAAGUCUGACGGAGCAACGCCGCGUGAACGAUGAAGGCUUUCGGGUCGUAAAGUUCUGUUGUUAGGGAAGAACAAGUACCAGAGUAACUGCUGGUACCUUGACGGUACCUAACCAGAAAGCCACGGCUAACUACGUGCCAGCAGCCGCGGUAAUACGUAGGUGGCAAGCGUUGUCCGGAAUUAUUGGGCGUAAAGCGCGCGCAGGUGGUUCUUUAAGUCUGAUGUGAAAGCCCACGGCUCAACCGUGGAGGGUCAUUGGAAACUGGGGAACUUGAGUGCAGAAGAGGAAAGUGGAAUUCCACGUGUAGCGGUGAAAUGCGUAGAGAUGUGGAGGAACACCAGUGGCGAAGGCGACUUUUCUGGUCUGUAACUGACACUGAGGCGCGAAAGCGUGGGGAGCGAACAGGGAUUAGAUACCCGU
rnacentral:rRNA from 1 species